GGAGAAAUUAAAAUGCACUUGACUGGCAGUCAAGAGGUCGUGGGUUCGAGCCCCAUCUUCUCCA
rnacentral:tRNA from 1 species